GACGAACGCUGGCGGCGCGCCUAACACAUGCAAGUCGAACGGGAUCUUUUAGGAAGCUUGCUUCUUGGCUGAUCUAGUGGCGGACGGGUGAGUAACACGUGAGCAACCUGCCGCGGAGUGGGGGACAACGUCUGGAAACGGACGCUAAUACCGCAUAACAUCACCGGAUGGCAUCAUUUGGUGAUCAAAGGAGAAAUCCGCUUUGCGAUGGGCUCGCGCCCGAUUAGAUAGUUGGUGGGGUAACGGCCCACCAAGUCGACGAUCGGUAGCCGGACUGAGAGGUUGAACGGCCACAUUGGGACUGAGACACGGCCCAGACUCCUACGGGAGGCAGCAGUGGGGAAUAUUGCACAAUGGGGGAAACCCUGAUGCAGCGACGCCGCGUGAGUGAAGACGGCCUUCGGGUUGUAAAGCUCUGUUGUGGGGGACGAUAAUGACGGUACCCCAUUAGAAAGCCACGGCUAACUACGUGCCAGCCGCCGCAGUAAAAC
rnacentral:rRNA from 1 species